GCAAGCCUGAAUACUAGCGAGAUGGAGGGUGUCUCGGAGGAGCAGCAGUCUCCUGAGUCCUCCAUCGUGGUAAAGGAGAUCAUGUCCCUGCACAGGGAGCGCAGGUACCUGCUCGCCUCCCUCACCUCCGGGGUCUCCGUCUGGAAGCGGCGAGGGCUAGGAGAAGAAAUAACUCUAGUCCGGAGGCUCGCCGGAACGGACUACACGGCCCCCGUCCAGGGCCAGGUCCAGGAGAUGGAGACGGAAGAAUCGGCCUCGGCAGCGGAGCAGCUCGGGAGGUACUUCGAUUCUAUCGUGCACGAUAGGGAGGACCUGAGCCACCGGAUGCUGUCCAUGGCGUACGCUGUGGUCAGACCCGAUAAUGGCGCCGCCCUCUCCUCGUACACGGCCGAUGAGCUCGUUAACUCGACGUCCGCAUUAAUGCACGCCUGCAAGGAGCUGUACGAAGACACCCACGAUAAUGAGCAGGCGGGGGAGGAGCAGAAGAACACAUUCUUGGAUCUCCACGACAAGUUCCUGAGAGAACCCUUGAGCUACGAGAACACGCUGGCCUUAGUGGUUACCAGGGAGGAGGAGGAGUUCUACGAGAAGGUGGUGGAGACGCUGAAGAAAAGGGCGGAGGAGGUGCGUCAGCAGAACAUGUUGAAGUGGAAGCGAUGGGAGGAGAAGGAGAAGGAGAGGGAGAGGUACUACACGGAGAGGAAGAUGGGGAGUGGGAAGGACAAGGAGAUUGAGUUGAGGUGGAAGAAGGAGAGGGAGAAGGAGCAGGAGGAGAGGGAGAAGAAGGACAAGGAGGAGGAUGAGAGGGAGAAGAAGGAGAUGGCCACAAUGGAGUAUCUCAAGAAGCGGAUGGAGGUGAGCGAGGAAUUCUUCGCGGAUCAUCGUGACGGUUGGGAAACUGGAUGGGGCAGCAAGAGUGUAAGGUGCGGCGACUUCCGAGACAAAACCACAUUGAGCCCUAUGCAUUUUACGCACUACACACCCAAUACCAUCCGAUCCUCUUGUGGUGUCACUGGGAGCACCUUGCAGAUCUACUCCAUACAAAUUCUUGAACUAAAAAGAGGAUUGAAAUGGCCACUCAAACUGUACGGAGUGGUCGCUGCUCGAGACAGCGUGGAUCGCAACCGCAACAUUGUCUUCUCUCGGUCAAGUCUUAACUCUCAAGAACUCAAUGAAAAUGGUUCUUCUUUAUGUUUUACUGGUCCGUCUCGUGCAAUUGUAGCUCUGGGCCCUGUUGACUUUGAAAUAGAACUGAAAAUAGAAGAGGGAGAGGAAUCCCACGACAAAGAAUUGAUCACUCUUAGCAAGCGGUAUGAGGGUACAGGUACCUCCCUCGUGUUCGAGAACAGUUUGUGUGUAGCGGAGUUAAAAUUUAAGCAGAUUUCUGAAGCGGUCCAGGCCACUGUCUUGGGUGUAUGCGUUGUUGAAGGGGACUGGCCUUUUGAACAUGGAUGCCGAGUUGCUUGCUCCUUGACUGCUGCUGCAGAUGAAGUUGUGGCUGAUGCAGAUGAAAUUGUGUUGCUUGAUUGUCGCGGUGAUGAUAAAGAAGUGCGUGUAGGAUCAGAUGGUUACCUUCAUCUGUCAAGGAAUGUUGUGUCAGUGCAAACACAAGGAACACUGGUAGUUGUCAUACGAACCUACUUGGAGUCUGGUUGCGCUGCUCAAGAUUCGAAGGUCGAAUUCCUUGCCAAGCUUUGCCAGACAGGUGAGGGUGAAUGUUCAGUUGGCAACAGUAAGGUGAAGAUCGUUGUUGCUUGGUCCCUCCUUGUCAAGGAGAAGCAGGACCUCUUGGUGGAUUGUCCA
rnacentral:rRNA from 1 species